rnacentral:rRNA from 1 species
ACCCGAAGCCGGUGCGCCGACCCGCAAGGGGGGCAGCCGACCACGGUCGGGUCAGCGACUGGGGUGAAGUCGUAACAAGGUAGCCGUAGGUGAACCUGCAGAAGGAUCA